rnacentral:rRNA from 1 species
CGCCGUAGGGACGGGGACUGUUACAGGUCUAGGCGUGAAAGUUCCUGGGCUACGAACCUGGGGGCUGCGUUUGAUACGUGAUGUCUGGAGUUCGGAAGAGGGUCGUGGAAUUCCCAGUGUAGAGGUGAAAUUCGUAGAUAUUGGGAAGAACACCGGUGGCGAAGGCGGCGACCUGGUCCGAUACUGACGCUGAGGCGCGAAAGCGUGGGGAGCAAACAGGAUUAGAUACCCUGGUAGUCCACGCUGUAAACGAUGUGCGCUGGAUGUUGGGUGACAUAGUCAUUCAGUGUCGUAGCUAACGCGAUAAGCGCACCGCCUGGGGAGUACGGCCGCAAGGUUGAA